AACAAAGCUAGCGGCGGACGGGUGAGUAACACGUGGGCAACCUGCCUCAUAGAGGGGAAUAGCCUCCCGAAAGGGAGAUUAAUACCGCAUAAGAUUGUAGCUUCGCAUGAAGUAGCAAUUAAAGGAGCAAUCCGCUAUGAGAUGGGCCCGCGGCGCAUUAGCUAGUUGGUGAGGUAACGGCUCACCAAGGCGACGAUGCGUAGCCGACCUGAGAGGGUGAUCGGCCACAUUGGGACUGAGACACGGCCCAGACUCCUACGGGAGGCAGCAGUGGGGAAUAUUGCACAAUGGGGGAAACCCUGAUGCAGCAACGCCGCGUGAGUGAUGACGGCCUUCGGGUUGUAAAGCUCUGUCUUCAGGGACGAUAAUGACGGUACCUGAGGAGGAAGCCACGGCUAACUACGUGCCAGCAGCCGCGGUAAUACGUAGGUGGCGAGCGUUGUCCGGAUUUAUUGGGCGUAAAGCGAGCGCAGGCGGUUUAAUAAGUCUGAAGUUAAAGGCAGUGGCUUAACCAUUGUUCGCUUUGGAAACUGUUAGACUUGAGUGCAGAAGGGGAGAGUGGAAUUCCAUGUGUAGCGGUGAAAUGCGUAGAUAUAUGGGGGAACACCGGUGGCGAAAGCGGCUCUCUGGUCUGUAACUGACGCUGAGGCUCGAAAGCGUGGGGAGCAAACAGGAUUAGAUACCCUGGUAGUCCACGCCGUAAACGAUGAGUGCUAGGUGUUAGGCCCUUUCCGGGGCUUAGUGCCGCAGCUAACGCAUUAAGCACUCCGCCUGGGGAGUACGACCGCAAGGUUGAAACUCAAAGGAAUUGACGGGGGCCCGCACAAGCGGUGGAGCAUGUGGUUUAAUUCGAUGCAACGCGAAGAACCUUACCUGGUCUUGACAUCCACGGAAGUUUUCAGAGAUGAGAAUGUGCCUUCGGGAGCCGUGAGACAGGUGCUGCAUGGCUGUCGUCAGCUCGUGUUGUGAAAUGUUGGGUUAAGUCCCGCAACGAGCGCAACCCUUAUCCUUUGUUGCCAGCGGUCCGGCCGGGAACUCAAAGGAGACUGCCAGUGAUAAACUGGAGGAAGGUGGGGAUGACGUCAAGUCAUCAUGGCCCUUACGACCAGGGCUACACACGUGCUACAAUGGCGCAUACAAAGAGAAGCGACCUCGCGAGAGCAAGCGGACCUCAUAAAGUGCGUCGUAGUCCGGAUUGGAGUCUGCAACUCGACUCCAUGAAGUCGGAAUCGCUAGUAAUCGUGGAUCAGAAUGCCACGGUGAAU
rnacentral:rRNA from 1 species